rnacentral:rRNA from 1 species
CAGGCCUAACACAUGCAAGUCGAACGCCCCGCAAGGGGACUGGCAGACGGAUGAGUAACACGUGGGAACGUACCCUUUGGUUCGGAACAACCCUGGGAAACUAGGGCUAAUACCGGAUACGCGCGAGAGCGGAAAGGUUUACCGCCGAAGGAUCGGCCCGCGUCUGAUUAGCUAGUUGGUGAGGUAACGGCUCACCAAGGCGACGAUCCGUAGCUGGUCUGAGAGGAUGAUCAGCCACACUGGGACUGAGACACGGCCCAGACUCCUACGGGAGGCAGCAGUGGGGAAUAUUGGACAAUGGGCGCAAGCCUGAUCCAGCAAUGCCGCGUGAGUGAUGAAGGCCUUAGGGUUGUAAAGCUCUUUUACCCGGGAUGAUAAUGACAGUACCGGGAGAAUAAGCCCCGGCUAACUCCGUGCCAGCAGCCGCGGUAAU